GAUGAACGCUGGCGGCGUGCCUAAUACAUGCAAGUCGAGCGAACGGACGAGAAGCUUGCUUUUCCGAUGUUAGCGGCGGACGGGUGAGUAACACGUGGAUAACCUACCUAUAAGACUGGGAUAACUUCGGGAAACCGGAGCUAAUACCGGAUAAUAUUUUGAACCGCAUGGUUCAAAAGUGAAAGACGGUCUUGCUGUCACUUAUAGAUGGAUCCGCGCUGCAUUAGCUAGUUGGUAAGGUAACGGCUUACCAAGGCAACGAUGCAUAGCCGACCUGAGAGGGUGAUCGGCCACACUGGAACUGAGACACGGUCCAGACUCCUACGGGAGGCAGCAGUAGGGAAUCUUGCGCAAUGGGCGAAAGCCUGACGGAGCAACGCGGCGUGAGUGAUGAAGGUCUUCGGAUCGUAAAGCUCUGUUAUUAGGGAAGGACAUAUGUGUAAGUAACUGUGCACAUCUUGACGGUACCUAAUCAGAAAGCAACGGCUAACUACGUG
rnacentral:rRNA from 1 species